UAUACUGGCGAUGCUCUGUUUGCAUGGGGA
rnacentral:piRNA from 1 species